CUCAAGUUUGCAAACACAAGAAUAUUAAAAAUCCUAAGACUAACUAUGGAGUUUAGCAACUCAUAGUAGAAAAGAUGGAGAGAGAUAUUAGGAGAAGGUGGAGGAGGUGAUGGUGAGAUGUGGUGAGGUGGUGGUGUCUAACAAAAGCCUAAACUCACUUAUUUAUACUAAUAAAUAAACUUGUUCAUCAAGUAACAAUCUUUGUUAUUUAAAUCUUUUCUAAAUCUUCACAAAAUCGGGCCCACAUAAAGGAGUAAGCUGCUGAACAAUCAGGCAUUCGCGGGUCCCACAAGAAGUCUGAAUCUUCAAUUGAGGUAAACAUGAGAGUUGUAGCUCUUUAAGUCAGCUUCGCGGGCCUUCAAUCGGAUCCUAAUUCGGAGUUCUGUAGCUCAAGAUAUGAUCAUUUUAGUGCAGACUGUUCCAGACUCGCAGGAUUAGCGACAGCAACUUUGCAAGGACAUUAUGACCAAGUUUGAGGCUGAUUCUUGAAUUAUGAUGAACAUGCAAGUUGUAGGGCUUCGAGUUAUCUUUCCAAUGACAUAUUAUGCGCCCAAUUUGGAUAUUUGUAGCUCCCGAUUCAACCUGUUCUAGCAAAACAGUCACAGAAACUAAAAGUGUAGAAUUAAGCACUUUUCCAUGAAUAAUCCAAAUAAACACUAAUGGUCAAAACAUGGCUAAGUUAUAACAAUUAUGCGCUUAUCAAAUACCCCCACACUUAGCAUUUGGCACUCCUGGGCAAAACUGGGCUUGAUGUGCUUCAUAUUGCUCUGAAAAAAAAAAUGUUAGCAACGUAUAUAAAAAAACAAAGAAUAGCAAAUAUUAAUAAUAAGAAUGAUAUUAAAGGGAAAGAAGAUAGAAAAGAUAACAAACUAAUAUAGAAGAGAGGAAAGAUAUAGAAAAAAAAAAAGAUAGUGAUCUAAAAAUAGAAGAUAGGAAAAAGAAUUAGAAGAUAGGAGAUAGAGAUAAAAGAUAUGAGAUAGAUAUAUUAGAUAUAGAUAUGAAAUAAAAACAACCAACAAUCUAUUAAAUAAAAAAAAAUCUAAUAAAUAAAAAAUCUAAUCCUAACCGCUAGCCCUUUUUUUUGUUUUUUUUUUAUAAAAACGAAAAUAAAAUAAAUAAAACAAAAAAAAAUAAAAAAAAUACUCUAAAAACAAUUAAUAAUCACCGAAGUCCCCGGCAACGGCGCCAAUUUGACGAACGCACUGUCGCGGGUGCGUGCCAAAAUAUUCUGCUUUGAAUGCAGUACAAGGUGAUGAACACCAGGAUCGAUCUCACAAGGACUUGAUAAAUUAUUAAUUGAUAUUAGAGUAAAACAAGAAACCUAAAAGGGGUUGAUUGAUUGGAUUGAAAAGUAACAAAGCAAUAACUAAAUAGACUAGACAGAAGAGAGAAAACGUUAGUCAUCGGAUUAUAACAUUCAAGUGCAACAAACCUUCAUUGGUUACAAAAGAUUAAUUCUUCCUUAUCAAUUCCCUAAUUCGUGAGAACUAAUUAACUAAGCGGAAAUUAAUUCACAGUUUCCUAAACUAAGCGAUUAAGAAACAGUUACGAACUAACAUGAACUAAGCGAACAUGCACCAACUCUUAUUCCUAAACCUAAGGAAUUAAGCAAACCCUAGAUCAGAAAUAGAGAUGAAAAGAAUUAAUAAAGAAAGAAAUUUGCAUUAAGAACAGAACCUCAAGUUUGCAAACACAAGAAUAUUAAAAAUCCUAAGACUAACUAUGGAGUUUAGCAACUCAUAGUAGAAAAGAUGGAGAGAGAUAUUAGGAGAAGGUGGAGGAGGUGAUGGUGAGAUGUGGUGAGGUGGUGGUGUCUAACAAAAGCCUAAACUCACUUAUUUAUACUAAUAAAUAAACUUGUUCAUCAAGUAACAAUCUUUGUUAUCUAAAUCUUUUCUAAAUCUUCACAAAAUCGGGCCCACA
rnacentral:lncRNA from 1 species